CUGGUACUACUGCAUGGUCAGGAAAACCAACUGAGCUACAAAAGGAGAAAUACUAUCUUUGGAGCUAGGGAAAUAGAAGAGAUAGUGGGCAACCUCACUUCAUCUUAAAACCAGAGUACGAUACUUCAGAUUCUGCUUAAGAAGUAUAGUUACCAUAACUGAAAUAGGUGUAGCAACACAUGAAUGUCUUCCCUCUGAGAAAUGCACUGUACCAUUUUAUCAUCUGGUGCAAUGAGAUGCCGUCAUACAGUGAGAUCAUCCUUCUGAUCCUGUCCAGCCUGGAGUGGCCUGACAGUGCUGCUGACCUGCUGUGUGAAUAGGGAGACUCUGUGCUUAAUUCAGUGCUUCACUGGUCCUGGCUAGAUGUCACCGACAGCUGUGGAUUACAUGACACGUCCAGAAUAUGAUGAGGAAGAGUUUUCUUUCUUCAAGUUUUGUAUGUUAUAGGUAGAGAGAAACUAAAAAAAAAAGCUUUAAAUUCUCCUUAGAGACUUAUCUCAGAGUUGUUCUGUAUUUUACAGGAAGUCUAUUAGAUCCCUUUCACAGUUCUCAUCACCUUUGUUAUGCUCCUGAAACACUGUUCAAUUCCUCCCUUCCAAAUGUCUUCCUCCAUCUUCAGGUUAUUGCAGGAUUGCUACUGCAUAUUUUGUUGUGUGACUAAAUGCAGAUCCCUUCAAAGAUUAUGAAUGUUCCUCAGGCUGCUGGAAGGGACACUAAUGAGCAAUCUGUAUUUUUUUCCCUUGCCUCCUUUUUGUAAUCCUGUAUGAAGCAUGUUCACACCAUGCACCUCGUGCAGGAGUAUAUUAUUUAGUACACAGAUAACUUGGUUAUCUGUGGAGCUUUGUGCUUCUUGUUCUGAGUGAGCCCCACUAUACAUCUUUCUGAGGUUUAUACUCAUGUUUGUUCCUUUAAAAUCUUCCCCGUCUAGACUCUUGAGCUAGACUCUGAUUGGGAACUGAAUGUAGCUAGAAUUCAGAUAAUUAGGUUUGUUUCUUUUCACCCAACCUGCUUUUUUUUUUUUUUUUUUUUUUUUGGGGGGGGGGGGGGGAAGGCAUAUUUCAGGAAACACAGCCAAAAAUUAGACCUAUAUUUAAGUAUUGUCACAAUAAGAAAAGUAGAAGAAAUCAUUAACCAUGGAAAAGAUCCGCACUGGCUGAAAUGUAUGGUGUUAUGUGUGCUUGUACAGUCAGUACAAAACAGUGGUGCAUAGUCUUUGUUUCACGUUUGUUCGAACAGAAAAGCUGGAUUAUAAUGCUGAGAUAACAAUUGAUAUCCAAAUAAAUUGUUACUGAACCUUCAGUUAUUUGCUACCUCGGCUGAAAAAUGUCCAUUAAAAACAUUUCUCAUUUAGCGAAGGGAAGUCCAUGUCUUCUGCUAGAUUUUGUCAGAGAAGUGGCUCUAGGACUGUAUUCAGUGGAGCUGGUGGAGAGAUUGUCUUCCAACUUUGUACAUAGUCACUAAGGUAUUGAAAGUCACUAAGUAUUAAAAAUCGCCUGAUUCUGGUACCCUGUGUGUUUGCCUUUAUAUUGGGGCAUACAAGGAAGGUGUGACAUUCAGCAAUAACUUCUUGUUUACAUUCACAGAAUGGCGAUUGUAUCCCUUCAUCCCUGUUUUGCAAUUUUUGCACUGCAAUGUUCUUACAGAAUAGCUGUUGCUAGCAGGAAGGAGGAGAAUUGCUCUUCCUCCACCCAUACAUGGGUGAGUGGAGAGUUUUAACUAUCAAGAUAAAAUAAUGUUAUAUAGAUAACCUUACACUGGCAAAAUUGGGAAACUUAUUUUGUUUUACUGGGGAAAAUGAUACUUGGAUACUUGGGCUGGCCGUUAAACUGAAAUCCACACUAAGAAUAUCUGUUGGUGCUCUUCUGCCAGUAAAAUGGUCAAGGUGUGGUGAAAGCAAUGCAGAAAUGUAGGGUAAACCUGGCUAUGUCUUUUUAUGGCUAGUUACACUUCUCUGCUGAAGGUCAGUGUCCCAUGUAGUUACUGCAAGGAGCGUAUGCUGCUUUGUUCAAUUGCUUCUUGGCUUAAACCAAGACUGAAAGUAGGGUUGGUGCUCAGAUGGCUACAGGAGUAGCUGAGGUUUGUGUGCAUGCUCUUUUCUGAUUUAUCUGCCAGAGAAAAAAUUACCUAUGACAUGCAGAAGGGGCUGACUGCUAAAACAACUGGGCAUGGGCAAGGACUUUGAGAGGAAAUGUUAACCAAAUGUUGGGCAUGAAACAAGCUUCUGACAUGUCAUCUGUGCAACCUUAAGUUUACUGGCAGCUAACCUGUCUUUCAAAGUAGAUUCAUACUCCUGACUAGUAGAGGCACUUUGGGAAAUUUUGCCCUUCUUUUCAUGAAGAGAAGAAAACUUUCUGAUAAUUGUAUGAGGAUCUUUUCCAAGUGUCUGUUGGAGAAUUACACCAUCAUGUUAACAAUGCUAGAAUUAGAAAUCUUGAAGUUUUGCCAAACUAAAAUUAGUGGAAAAACAGUUUAAAUAUUUUACAGCUGUGCCGCAUUACACAGUAAUUGCAUACUUAAUAAUACAAG